UUUUAUUCACCAGAAACUCGAUGAACAUACAAUAGAAAAAUAAAUUGUGCGUAGACGUCGAAACGCUGGAAGAAGAGGCAAAAGAAAGAGAAGGUGUAGACUACUCUCAACUAAAGCUAAAUGAAGAGCUUAUUGCUGGU
rnacentral:sRNA from 1 species